UUAAUCGUUAACACACGCAGCCACCAUAAACCGCUGCGCGCCAGAGUAGUACAAGCGAAAAGCUAGAAACUCAAAGGACUUGGCGGUGUCCCACACCAACCUAGAGGAGCCUGUCCUAUAAUCGAUACUCCACGUUAAACCUAACCUGCUUUCGCCAGUCAGCCUAUAUACCGCCGUCGCCAGCCUGCCUAAUAAUAGAUAUAAAGCAAGCAAAAUAGGCCACGCCUAACACGUCAGGUCAAGGUGUAGCUAAUAAGUAGGUCACAGAUGGGCUACAUUUUCUCAACACAAGAAAACCACCGCACGCAUUAUGAAAAUAAGCCGAAAGGCGGAUUUAGCAGUAAGUCUGGCAAGAUAAGCCUACCUGAAACCUGCCCUGGGACAC
rnacentral:rRNA from 1 species